CCAGGGAUGGGUGCUGACCAGAGCAGAGGGCUGAUGGGAGCCCCUGGCACCACAUGGGGUAUCAGGAAACCAUCCCUGAGGAAGGACCAGCUGGGGAUGCUCCAUCCGGAAGAACGAGAUGGCUAAGAGAUGACAACGAGAAGGACUUGACCUUACAAAGCAACCUGGAGGUUUCUGGCUGGCCAAGGAGGACACUUCUGAUGUGUGACCCUUUGGGCCCUCCUCCAGCACUGCCCUCACUGUUCUUCACCCUCAUGGUCUCCACAGUUCCUCCUUUCCCAAUGCCUGUGCCAGGCCCCAGAGGUGGGCAGGUGACUCAUUCCCAAUUCCCUCGGUGUAUGGAACUCCAAGACACAUGUGUCCAAAGUGGCAUGUGGGAAAAGGAGCAAGCACUGAGCAACCUGUCAGACCAAACUGCACAGAGCUACACACGGACCUUCAGACAUCCUCCCUACAAAAACCACGAGGUGACACCAGCAAGUCCCCAUCUUGUCCACAGCUGGAAGUGCAGGGAACAUGGAGCUGGUGGCCACCCAAGAGCACAGCAAGAGAGGUGGCUGAGCUCUCCAGGCUUCCAGAGGACAAAGAGCUGGAGACAACGUGUUCUAGCUGGGAAAGAGAGGAGAGCCAAGCAGGGCGGCUCUGGCUGCAGCAGCGCCGGCACCCGACAGCCACCAUGGAAAGGAAAUGCAUCAUCUUGUUUUCUAAAACAAGGGGAAAGGCUGGGCCAGGGCUGAGGAGGUGAGAUCCAGCUUGGAAAGUCACAAGGAACUUUCUCUGGCAGCUUCCUGCACAUUUCAGAGUGCACUGAACAGCCUUCCGGAGCCGUGACACCACGCUGCCGGUGCCAACUUCCUUCCAGCCAGCAGGACAGACUGACGGCAGCCCAAACACCCGCUCUGAGGCACCUUGUCAGCACUUCUCACAAUGGCAAGUGCUGCUAGGAAAACCAGGAACAAAACUUUCUCACAAGCCACAGACCAUCAGUGAUUCUGUCCUCACUCCUCAAAUCAAAUCCCAUCCCUGUGAGACAAAUCUGCGGCACUGUGGAAAAACAACUAGGUAUGGCAGUAAUUUUCAUGAAAAAUUACCAGGAAAUAUGCCUCAGAGCCAUUCCAGAGGGUUUAUAAACCACCUUAGUUAUGAGCCAUGGAGCAGCCAGCGCUGCCCUGCGUAUGAUGCCAGGUAUCCAUGGAUCUGGGAGCUGUGAAAUGGACAGGAGCCUCCAAUGUUCCUGAUGCUUCACCAAGUGCAGACCAGAGCACCUCAGGGAUGCCACCCCCAACACGAGGAGGUGUCCAUUGCUCUGAUUCACUAGCCCUUGGUAGAUCAUUUGCUGCUGUUUCCUCCACAAAUACCCAUCCUUUGAAAACACUGAUGAACCUAAGAAUGUUUUCCUUACAGAAUCCCAGAAUGCUUUGGGUUGGAAAGGACCUAAAAGCUCAUCCAGUGACACCCCCUGCCAUGGGCAGGGACACCUUCCACUGUCCCCAGUUGCUCCAGCCUGGCCUUGGACUCUUCCAGGGAUGGAGCAGCCAAAGGUUGUCUGGGCAACAUGGGAUUCCUUGCUGAAGGGGAGUGUGGUGACUUACUGAUGAAGUUGGCCUGGCCAGUGAAGAUGGUGUACUGGAGCUCAUAGGAGCUGACGCUGAACUCGUCCUCUGACAUCCAGUGCACGGUGAUGGUGUCAUGGGAGGCCGUGCAGAGCUCCUCACGGACUGACGGGGGGUUGGGUGCUGUGGGAUGGCACAGACCACAGACUUUGAUCAAUUUGGGCUUUCCUUCCUUAAAAACCCAGGCCUUUUCUACUCAUGUUAGGACUGACAUGGGCUUGCGGCAGGAGUAGUCUCUCAACACCAAAACCUCUCUCAUUCCAUCUGUCAUUGUGUUUCCCACUGAACUAAACCUUUUAGUUUCACCAGGCAGCCAGAGGUCAGAGAACAGGGUUUUCACUGCUUCUCCAUCAGGUCUGACAUCCCUCACCCUGAAACAGGCUGAGAACCCGCUUCAAAUCCACUUAUUUCUCUGCCCUGGUUGUGGAGAACAGCAGUGUGAAACAGGAGGAUGGAGACACGUCACUGUCCUGGGGACAGCACAGGCCCUGCUCUGCCACAGAUGACCUGGCACUUGUUACUGGUUAAGUCCUAAAAUAGGUCUGCCAGCCCUUGGUGGAGCACAGGGCAAGGGACUGAGGGGAAGAUACAAAGUGGAGCACACCUGAGCACUCACCUGUUAGGUAAUCCAGCCCCUCCAGCAGCUUCUUCUCUCUGGAAAAAUCUAAAGCAAAGUUUUCAAAGGCAUCAUUAAAAUUGAUAUCUGGUAUCAGGACUUGCGAGGAUGCAGUUGCCAUGGCGACCCUGGAAGGAAAGAAGGGACCAUCAGUAUGCAACAGGGUGCAUGAGGGAGGCACAGGGAUGGGGACAGCCUCCCUGUGCGUCACCUGCUGUCAGGAAAACAGCUACCUACGGACCACUGCCCCCACCCAGGGGGUGGCCUAACCCGAGGACAGGUUCCCUGAGAGUGGGGGGGCUCCAUCCCUGGGGUUUACAGCUUUGACUGGCCCCUGAACUCCCUCUGGACUGGCAUUUCCACCACUUUCCUACCUCAGGGAAGGGGGCUUGCUUCCACAGAAUUGUUAGGACCUGCCAUGCAGCCCCUGUCCUGUGAGGGAUGGGAACCUGGUUUAUUUGAGGACAGCACAGUGGGAGGCUGCAGGUAUGGCUGGGGAUCUCCAGGGAAGUGACUGGAGGGC